AAUAAAAUUAUAAAUGUAAAACCAUGAAUGAAAUAUAGAGUAAGCAAGUGGUAUAAAUAUUGGUGGGACGUUCGACAUACUAUAUAGCAGGCAUCUCCAAACGGCGGACUGCGGUCUUGACGGUCCUAUCCGGACCCACGACCAAUUAAAAAAAAAAAAAAAAAAAAAAAAAUAUUUUUGUUUAAGAUGUAAUCUGACGUAACGAACGAAUCAAAACGAACGAAUCAAAUAAACGAAUCGUUAUAGUGAACUGAACUGAAAGAACUAGUUCCCGGAAAAGAAUCAUUUUGCCCAUCCCUAAUUCUUAGUGAUUCAUCCUUAGUAAGAGUAGGUCUCAGCGGCUUUGUGAAUAACUUUUAAGAAAAAACUCCUACGUAAAAUGUUUUAGCGCGAGUUAGGAGCACUCCUAACGGUAAGAUAAAAUGCUUUGUGAAUACGGCCCCUGAAAUGCUAAUUUUCAAUGCAUGCUGAAAAUACUAUGUUAUGAUUACUAUCUAGUUAGACAUUUGAUAGGAUUAUAUGCCGGAUAUGGAACAUUGUGUUAUGAUUUAGCAGGGUGUAUGGUUCCAUAUGAAUGAAUUGCAGGGAUCAAAAUGUUAAUAGGAUGUACUACAUUUGAUAGAUCUUUUUUGCCUUAAACAGGUUGAAAUUCCUGAGAAUUAUGCAGGUUGAAAGCCCUGAACGUGCUUAAAGGUUUUUAACGAUGAUCAAAUGUAGUGCAAAGUCUGACCUGAACGCAGUGGCGGUUUUAGGCACGGGCGAACCGGGCAGCCGCCCGGGGCGGCAUAUUUGUGGGGGGCGGCUAAUCACAUGGGGGGCGCCACGAGCAGUAUAAAAAAAAAAUGCGCUGCGCAGCGGUUAUCAAUGAAGUACGACAUAACAUUGUGUGGGGAAUAGGUAUUUUGGCGCCCCCUCUGGCUGCAGGCGCACACCUGCUCGUUGAGAAGGUGCCGUGUAUAGACGGAAUGAAACCCUCACUGAAGUCCGUAGGUUCACGACACAAACCCCCCCCGUCAACACCCGCUUGUAGGAAGUCUUGCCCGGGGCGUAACUGGACCUAGAACCGCCACUGCCUGAACGUUAUGUUUUUGUUGUGAUCUUAGCAAUCACAAAAGGGCGUUUGUGGUAUAAAUUAAUGAUUAUAUUCUAUGGUAAACCAUGAUUAUUAUUAGGCCUGUAUAUCUAAUGGUAGAAAACAUUUAAAGCGUCUCUGGAUUCUGAUCCAGGGCUGGACACGGUGCCUGGGAGUCUGGGGUCAGAGCAGGGGUUGGGGCCCAACAGAGACAAUGCAUGCUGACCUUGUGGUAGAAACUUAUGGAGGACCACAAGUGUCACGGAAAUAGUAAUAAAGAAAUAGACUAAAUUAUAAAGUAAUUCAUUAUUUGAUCUUUUAAUGGGCAAUAAAAGAGGAAUUAAAAAUAUUUACAAAUUAAAUAUUAAUCCAUCAAUAAGUAGCUCAAAUUAAAAAGGGAUUUACAAAAACAACAUAAAACAGUCAAUAAGUACAUCAUUUAAAAAUACAUUAAUGAAUUCAUAAAUAAAUGAUGCAAUUUAAAAAUCGAUUUGAAAAUGCCGUUUAAAAAGAGAAAUAAAUAACUGGAUUCACAAAUUGAAUUAAGAAUACAGAUUUUAAUCCGCCAUUUAAAUGGGCGAUUUCCUUGGCAUUUGCAUUUCCAUUUCCCCGCUACUUUUCCUUUUCCUAUUAGCUAUUCGAUUAGCUUAGUCAUUUAGCUUCUCCUAUUAGCCUCUCCAUUUAGCUUUUCCGUGACACUUUGGUCCUUGCGCUGGUGAGACGAGGCAAAGCAAUGCAAAUUAGCCAUGUAACAAGCUCUCUGAUUGGCUAUCACCUGGCAUCUCAUAUGCAGACGUAUGACAUGGAUGUGGGAAGGAGAAGGUGUUUUUUUUUUAAGCACUAGAUGGAAGAAACACGGACUAACACAAUAAAUGCCAUAAUUCAAUUUGGCUGACUAUGUCGACAAUCAUAUUCCAGUUGACUAUGACUAUGCUCUAACGAGGUUGCUUCAGCUAAGAGAAAACUUCGAAGCAUCCAGCUGCCAUUUAGAGGACGCUGUUCGGGCCAAGUUGAAUGAGGUGGAGCAUUUAAUUCGCCAAGAGAUUCAGCCCUGUCUUCUUGACUUGCAAAGAGACCAGUUGCAGCUGCAGAUCUCCUUCGGAAUCCCGCGCAGGGAGAUAGCAAGACGAUUUGGUGUGUCUUUAAAAACCCUCCAUCGCAGGAUUGCCCUGUGGGGAUUAAGACGAGAUGACUUGAACAACAGUAUCAGUGACGAGGAGUUGGACGUGAUUGUGUCUGACAUUCAUCGCCAUUACCCCAGCGCUGGCUACAAGAUGAUAUUGGGUCACUUGAGAUCAAGGCAACUUUUUGUCAAAAGGGGACGUGUGCUGGCAUCAUUAAGACGUGUGGAUCCUCAAGGGGUUCUGAUGCGCAGGCUGUCACUACGAACCGUAAAGCGAAGAUGUUACUCUGUUCCAGCUCCCAACAGCCUUUGGCAUAUUGAUGGCCACCAUAAGCUUAUACGAUGGCGAGUGGUUGUGCAUGGUGGUAUUGAUGGGUUUUCACGGCUCAUCCUUUACCUGACUGCAGCGACCAACAACCGAGCCCAAACUGUCCUGGAGAGUUUCCUGUCUGCAGUAGAGCAGUAUGGUAUCCCCUCUAGAGUCCGCUCGGAUAAGGGAGGGGAAAACAUUCUGGUUGCACGCUUCAUGGUGACCAGUCGUGGACUCAAUAACAACUCUCACAUUGCUGGAAGAAGUGUCCACAAUCAGAGGUGCUUGACACACCAAUAAAAAUUGAGCGGCUGUGGAGAGAUGUAUUUGAAAAUGUCAUUGAUCUCUUCCAUACCACUUUUCAUCGUCUGGAAGCUGAGGGAUGGCUUAAUCCAGACAAGGAGACAGACCUCUAUGCUUUACAUAGAUGUUACAUGCCGCAUAUCCAGUCACAUCUGCAACAAUUCCAGAGAGCAUGGAACAACCACUCCUUAAGAACCGCCAGAAACAAAUCCCCUCUGCAGCUGUGGUGGAGCAAAGCAAGAGAGGGGAACAGGACAAAAUUUUGUCAGGUACAUGACGAAUGCAGAGUUGACUGGAGAGGGCCAGAGAGACAUGUGACAGACGGAGUUCACAUUCCUAAGUUGGAGCUGCCCCGGGCCCUGUCUGUGGCAGAAUUGGCAACACUGCCAAAUCCGGCUGUACCAUUGCCAGAGACAAUACCAAUUUACAUUGAGACGGUACGCAUUCUUCGAGAAAUGCUGUAAUCAUGUAUGAUUUGUCAUACAGAUAAGAGUACUAGUGAUUGACCAUUUAUAACUUGUAGUUAGAGCUGUUAUAACUAAUAUUUCUGAAGUGGACACUGACAUUUCAGCAUCUAACAAGUCUGUUUCUUGCAGGUGACUUUUCUGUUAUUGUGUCACCUUAAGCUAUCAAUGUGUAUGUUUUGUUUACAGCUUGUUGCACUGCUCCCAAGUGGCCAAAUAAAAGUUUGAUUUGCCUGGGGCCUGUACCACGAAGCUCGCUUAGAGGGUUAGUGAGGUAUGUUGAGCUCAAAGCCUGAGUUAGUUGUACCACAAAAGUCGAUCUCUUUUAGCGUCGCUGUAUCACCAUGGUGACUUAUGCUCGCAACCAAACCUGGUCGGGAGCAGUUUUUCGGCUUAUGUCUAGCCGGAGAUCGGCUACUUAAAUCGGCGUGCGCAGCUUCCUAGCCCCUCCUCUGACAAUGGCGUCAUCAUUUGUGGGCAUGGUUGUAGUGAUUUGGU